rnacentral:rRNA from 1 species
GACGAACGCUGGCGGCGUGCCUAAUACAUGCAAGUCGAGCGAAGUUUUUCUGGUGCUUGCACCGGAAAAACUUAGCGGCGAACGGGUGAGUAACACGUAAAGAACCUGCCUUAUAGACUGGGACAACAAUUGGAAACGAUAGCUAAUACCGGAUAACAGCAUUAACUGCAUGGUUGAUGUUUGAAAGUUGGUUUUGCUAACACUAUGAGAUGGCUUUGCGGUGCAUUAGCUAGUUGGUGGGGUAAAGGCCUACCAAGGCGACGAUGCAUAGCCGACCUGAGAGGGUGAUCGGCCACACUGGGACUGAGACACGGCCCAGACUCCUACGGGAGGCAGCAGUAGGGAAUCUUCCGCAAUGGGCGAAAGCCUGACGGAGCAACGCCGCGUGAGUGAAGAAGGAUUUCGGUUCGUAAAGCUCUGUUGUUAGGGAAGAAUGAUUGUGUAGUAACUAUAC